CUUUACUAUACGCUGGCAUUGUAUUUUUAGUUUGCGUGCGCAGGAUAGGUGGGACCCUUUGAAGCCCGGACUUUGGUCUGGGUGGAGGGGACGUUGAGAUACCACCCUCGUUUCCUGAAAAUACUCACCCUGUCUCUGAAACGGAGCAGGGGACCGUGCUUGCUGGGUAGUUUAACUGGGGCGGUUGCCUCCUAAAAUGUAACGGAGGCGCGCAAUGGUUCACUAGUACCGGAUGGAAAUCGGUAUCGUCGUGUAAUCGCACAAGUGAGCCUAACUGUGAGGCAGACAUGCCGAGCAGAGACGAAAGUCGGCGAUAGUGAUCCGGCAACCUGAGUAUAUUUAUAUGCUCUUCCCACGUGGGUGGGUUG
rnacentral:rRNA from 1 species